GGCCGGUUAGCUCAGUCAGUUGAGCAUGACUCUGACAACGCCAAGGUCGCGGGUUCGAUUCCCGUUCGGUCC
rnacentral:tRNA from 1 species